GGCUCGGUAGUGUAAUGGAUAACACAGUUCCCCGCUAAGAUAUUGAUUCGAGUUCGAAUCUCGACCGAGCCACCA
rnacentral:tRNA from 1 species